GUAAGGAAUAUUGGUCAAUGGACGGAAGUCUGAACCAGCCAUGCCGCGUGGAGGAUGAAGGUCCUCUGGAUUGUAAACUUCUUUUAUAGGGGGCGAAAAAAGGGAAUUCUUUCUCGUCUGACGGUACCCUAUGAAUAAGCACCGGCUAACUCCGUGCCAGCAGCCGCGGUAAUACGGAGGGUGCAAGCGUUAUCCGGAUUCACUGGGUUUAAAGGGAGCGUAGGCGGGCAUGUAAGUCAGUGGUGAAAGCCCUCAGCUUAACUGAGGAACUGCCAUUGAUACUAUAUGUCUUGAAUGUCGUUGAGGUUUGCGGAAUAGGUCAUGUAGCGGUGAAAUGCUUAGAUAUGACCUAGAACACCUAUUGCGAAGGCAGCAGGCUAAACGAAUAUUGACGCUGAGGCUCGAAAGCGUGGGGAUCAAACAGGAUUAGAAACCCCAGUAGUCC
rnacentral:rRNA from 1 species